CCGGUGGCUCAGUUGGUUAGAGCGCCGCCCUGUCACGGCGGAGGUCAAGGGUUCGAACCCCUUUCG
rnacentral:tRNA from 2 species